rnacentral:rRNA from 1 species
CAAUAGCGUAUAUUAAAGUUGUUGCAGUUAAAAAGCUCGUAGUUGGAUUUCUGGAUGGAGCGACCGGUCGGGCAUUAAUUUGUCUGCACUGGAGUCGGUUCCGUCCAUCCUCUUGGAAAGUGCGUGGGGCAUUAAGUUGUCUGGCGUAUGAUCCAAGUCGUUUACUGUGAAAAAAUUAGAGUGUUUAAAGCAGGCCUUCGCCUUGAAUACAUUAGCAUGGAAUAAUAAGAUAGGACUUUGGUCUAUUUUGUUGGUUUGCAGACCGAAGUAAUGAUUAAUAGGGAUAGUUGGGGGUAUUUAUAUUCCGAUGUCAGAGGUGAAAUUCUUAGAUUUUCGGAAGAUAAACUUAUGCGAAAGCAUUUACCAAGGAUGUUUNCAUUAA